rnacentral:lncRNA from 1 species
UAGGUUUACACAAAAGAGUAGAGAAGUGCAAAAAAAAACAAAAAUUGGAGAAGAAAUGAUAGACCCAAAAACCUCGAUUAGGGAAAAAAUUAACUCAUUUACAUUAGUGGAAAAGUCUGAAAAAAACGUAAGAAACGCUUGGCAGAGACACCACAUUAAAAAAAAAAUAAUAAUUUGCGAUAUAAAAAAUUUAAGGGAAGAAAAGGAUUUCACCUAUCCGAACACUUGCACUAAAUUGAUUUUAAUAUAAUAAUUGCUCUAGUAAAUAACUAAAAAAAUGGGAGAUAGGAAAGAAAGGAAAUGUUUAUAAAUAUCUAUCUCUCAGAGGUUUA